rnacentral:rRNA from 1 species
GGCCAGCAGCCGCGGUAAUAUGAAGGGAGCUAGCGUAGUUAGGAAUUACUGGGCUUAAAGAGUUCGUAGUUGGUUCAAAAAGUUGGUGGUGAAAUCCCAGAGCUUAACUCUGGAACUGCCAUCAAAACUUUUUAGCUAGAGUAUGAUAGAGGAAAGCAGAAUUUCUAGUGUAGAGGUGAAAUUCGUAGAUAUUAGAAAGAAUACCGAUUGCGAAGGCAGCUUUCUGGAUCAUUACUGACACUGAGGUACGAAAGCAUGGGUGGCGAAGAGUAUUAGAUA